rnacentral:rRNA from 1 species
AGGACGAACGCUGGCGGCGUGCUUAACACAUGCAAGUCGAGCGGAAAGGCCCUUCGGGGUACUCGAGCGGCGAACGGGUGAGUAACACGUGAGCAACCUGCCCCUGGCUCUGGGAUAGCCUCCGGAAACGGGGAUUAAUACCGGACAUGACCCUUGACCGCAUGGUUGGGGGUGGAAAGUUUUUCGGCCAGGGUGGGCUCGCGGCCUAUCAGCUUGUUGGGGGGGUGACGGCCCACCAAGGCGACGACGGGUAG